rnacentral:tRNA from 1 species
GUUUAUUUAUUACAAUAAUGGUUUUGAAAGCCUUUAAAGGUAAUAUAAUUAUUACCAAUAAAUA